rnacentral:rRNA from 1 species
CCUACGGGUGGCAGCAGUGAGGAAUAUUGGUCAAUGGACGAGAGUCUGAACCAGCCAAGUAGCGUGAAGGAUGACUGCCCUAUGGGUUGUAAACUUCUUUUAUAAAGGAAUAAAACGAGGCACGUGUGCCUUUUUGUAUGUACUUUAUGAAUAAGGAUCGGCUAACUCCGUGCCAGCAGCCGCGGUAAUACGGAGGAUCCGAGCGUUAUCCGGAUUUAUUGGGUUUAAAGGGAGCGUAGAUGGGUUGUUAAGUCAGUUGUGAAAGUUUGCGGCUCAACCGUAAAAUUGCAAUUGAUACUGGCAGUCUUGAGUACAGUAGAGGUGGGCGGAAUUCGUGGUGUAGCGGUGAAAUGCUUAGAUAUCACGAAGAACCCCGAUUGCGAAGGCAGCUUACUAAACUGUGACUGACAUUGAUGCUCGAAAGUGUGGGUAUCAAACAGGAUUAGAUACCCGUGUAGUC